rnacentral:rRNA from 1 species
CCUACGGGUGGCAGCAGUGGGGGAUAUUGCACAAUGGGGGAAACCCUGAUGCAGCGACGCCGCGUGGGUGAAGAAGCGCCUCGGCGCGUAAAGCCCUUUCAGCAGGGAAGAAAAUGACGGUACCUGAAGAAGAAGCCCCGGCAAACUACGUGCCAGCAGCCGCGGUAAUACGUCGGGGGCAGGCGUUAGCCGGAUUUACUGGGUGUAAAGGGGGCGCAGACGGCGAUGCAAGGCAGGAGGGAAAGCCGGGGGCCCAACCCCGGGAGUGCUCUUGGAACUGAGUGGAUAGAGUGCAGGAGGGGCAGGCGGAAUUUGGGGUGUAGGGGUGAAAUGCGUAGAUAUCAGGAGGAACACCGGUGGCGAAGGCGGCCUGCUGGACUGAAACUGACGUUGAGGCCCGAAAGCGUGGGGAGCAAACAGGAUUAGAUACCAGUAGUC